GGAGGACAAUAUCGAGGAGAUGGAAGUGGACGAGGAGGAUGAGGAGGAGCCCAUGGUCCUUGGAUGAAGAUGGAGCCCCACAAGACUGCUGGAGAUGACGGCCGUAGAUAUUACGCCUCUGUAUAUAUGUUUGAAAAAUUAGAAGAUUGUUGUAAAUAUGUUCUUAGUUUAGUAGUUCUUUGUAAAUAUGUUUUGAAGAUUGUUAGUCCAUAGGAUCCCAUAGAAAUAUGUGCUGUAGAUUGUUGUUGUUGUUAUAAGGAUUGUUGUAAUGAAAGUUGUUCUGUAAAUCCUCGUGUUUGCCGAUCUUCGGCAAAUAAAUAAUGAUUCUUUAUAAAA